GUUCUUGCACAUAUACUAAAAUUGGAUACAGAGACGAUUAGCAUGGCCCCUGCAAAAGGAUGACAGGCAAAUCCGUGAAGCACUCCACAUUUUU
ensembl:snRNA U6 U6 spliceosomal RNA